ACGCCGCAACACGGGAGUCCCGGGACCGGGGGCUGAGAGUGGGGUCGUCCUACCCUUACCGUCACACCUGAUCCGGAUCAUGCCGGCGAAGGGAGAGGAUUUAUCGUGCCG
rnacentral:ncRNA from 1 species